rnacentral:rRNA from 1 species
UACGGGGGGAGCAAGCGUUGUUCGGAUUUACUGGGCGUAAAGGGCGCGUAGGCGGCCUCUGCAAGUCGACUGUGAAAUCUCCGGGCUUAACCCGGAACGGUCAGCCGAUACUGCAGGGCUAGAGUGCAGAAGGGGCAACUGGAAUUCUCGGUGUAGCGGUGAAAUGCGUAGAUAUCGAGAGGAACACCUGCGGCGAAGGCGGGUUGCUGGGCUGACACUGACGCUGAGGCGCGAAAGCUAGGGGAGCGAACGGGAUUAGAUACCCGUGUAGACC